rnacentral:rRNA from 1 species
UACGGGAGGCAGCAGUGAGGAAUAUUGGUCAAUGGGCGCAAGCCUGAACCAGCCAAGUAGCGUGCAGGACGACUGCCCUAUGGGUUGUAAACUGCUUUUAUACGGGAAUAAAGUGUGCCACGUGUGGUGUUUUGUAUGUACCGUAUGAAUAAGGACCGGCUAAUUCCGUGCCAGCAGCCGCGGUAAU